ensembl:misc_RNA 7SK 7SK RNA
GGAUGUGAGGGCGAUCUGCCGGCAACAUCUGGUACCCCAUCCAUUCGCCAGGGUUGAUUCGGUUGAUCUGGCUGCCUCGCCAGGAUCCUCGUGCUCCCUCACGGCUCAGUCCUUCCCUCCGGGAGCUGCACACCGGGUAGAAGAGGGCGACCUCCCGGGAUAGAGGAGGUCUGUUCCUCGGUCGAGGGCAAACGAGUAGCUGCACUCCCUUGCUAGAACCUCAAACAAGCUCUCAAGGCCCAUUUACAGGACAAUGUAAGGUAGUCAAGCUUCCAAGACGGCAGCCACUAUCCAAAGGAGGCGCUGCAUGUGGCAGUCUGCCUUUCUUA